GGGUGUCUAGCUCAGCGGCAUAAGCACCUGCCUUGUAAGCAGGCGGUCGUGAGUUCGAUCCCCGGUACCGA
rnacentral:tRNA from 1 species